rnacentral:rRNA from 1 species
UACGUAGGGUGCGAGCGUUAAUCGGAAUUACUGGGCGUAAAGCGUGCGCAGGCGGUUUUGUAAGCCAGAUGUGAAAGCCCCGGGCUCAACCUGGGAAUGGCAUUUGGGACUGCAAGGCUGGAGUAUGGCAGAGGAGACUAGAAUUCCUGGUGUAGCAGUGAAAUGCGUAGAUAUCAGGAGGAACACCGAUGGCGAAGGCAGGUCUCUGGGCUGAUACUGACGCUCAUGCACGAAAGCGUGGGGAGCAAACAGG